rnacentral:lncRNA from 1 species
CCUCUUUGUUGUUUGAGUCACUUUGAGAGGACUAUUCCUAAAAGCCAAAUUUAACAACACAUCCAGCCUCAGACUCAGGUCCCUGGACUUUGGGACUCAUUCUGCUCGACUUGAUCCCUGCUCUGCCCAUUGAUCACAUACACACGUUUACACCUGGCAGAAGAGGAAGAGGAGGCAUGAAGGAAUGGCCUCUUCAGAAUGGAGAAAAGCCUUCCCCAUGAGAACAUGCCUAAGACAGACUGCUGAAGAAGGCGGCAAAUGGAACAGCGCUGAAUCAGCCUGGUCAUCCCAGUCAAGCCUCCAGACAUGUAAGCACCCUCCUCUGAUCUGCAGAGCUGCCUGGCCCAAAUACUGUUGACCACUCUUGAGUAAGCCCCACCAAGAUCAGCUGAGAACAGUAGAACUGACCAGAUGACUCUAACCUCAUGAAUAAAUCCAAGUGUUUUU